UCCUCCGACUCCGAGCUCUCGCCGCCGGCCAUCCGCGCCAGCCCGACGCCGGCCAGCUUCGCCGUCAGCGUGUCCGUCAGGAGCACGUUCGAUGACCGGACGUUCCGGUGGAUGAUCCGCUGCUCUGCAAACGGCGAGUUUCAGUAUGUGAUAGCAUGAGCUACGUCGAUCGCGAUGUUGAGCCGUUGCGCAAGUUCUAAACCAUUUCCACAGGAUUCUGCAGUGUGUUGCAUUUGCACAAAUCCUGAUCAAUUCCUCCUACUAGGUGACCUAAGUACAGUUAAUCUGCAAUUAAAUUUACUCUACUUAACCAGCAAAACAACCAAGAACUGAAGAAUUGGAAGGCACCAGAAGGCAGAAUUGCUGGGCAAAUUCCUCGAUAGAGGAAUAGUUCUUACCUGGAUCAAUCGAGACUUGGUAACCUGUACUUCUGCUCCCUUGAGAAAUCGUCGUCCGAGAAAUCUCAAGUUCAUCCUCAUUUCUGGACUUCCUGGGCACAAAGCAACUGAAAACUCCGGCGAGACUCUGCGCCGCCGCCCUGAACGAGCCGCUGCUGCGAACCGAGCUCCUGCUGAUCUCUGAAGAUGGAACGCUGUAAGAGGAAGCCUGACGACGGUAGACCUCAGGAGGGCAUGAUUGGUAUCUCUGGCAAUUCCAUGGCAAGAAGAUCGAGAGGAAAAAUUUCUUGGUCUGAUUAUUGCUUCAUCGUUUUUCCUUUGGAUGCAUAAAUAUGGGGACGAUGACUUGGUGCCGUUCAAUGGCACAAGCCUUUGCUGAGCGUGAUGUUGCUGUCCUGGAGCUAGGUCAACGGUGUGCUCCGACGACCUGCAGUUAGGUUGCUGUUCCUGGAAGGGUUCACAUCUGGUCCGUGGCAUCACAAGUUCAUACAGGAAGACGGGAAGAAGUGGAGGACUUUCUGUGAUGUCAUGGUGUGAUUGGUAAAGAUUUAGGUGCCAGAAUUGGUCAGAUUAUUAGCGGUCUACUCGCUCCGUCCCAAAAAAAGACAAACCCUGGGUUUCCGUGUCCAACUUUGAUUGUCCGUCUUAUAUGAAUUUUUUUUAUAAUUCGUAUUUUCAUUGUUGUUAGAUGAUAAAACAUGAUUAAUAUUUUAUGCGUGACUUGUCUUUUUAAUUUUUUUUCAUAAUUUUUUCAAAUAAGACGGACGGUCAAACGUUGGACACGGAAACCAGAGUUUGUCUUUUUUUUGGACGGAGGGAGCAUGCAGAUGAAAUUGAAUAUUGUUAUCUAGGAUCAAUCAGUUUAGGAUAGGAAUGUAUGACUUGGAUUUCGUGAUGCAAGGAAAAAUAAAUAGUACUA